UCAUUGUACCCUAAAUUUUCACCUUAAACAAAGAAACCCAAAAUUUUCCCUUUUUCCAGCCUCUGAAACACGCAACCCUUCACCUUCCUUUCUCUUUCAACCCACGCACACACAGCAGAGGAAGAGAAGAGAGGUCACGUCACCGUCAGAUCUGAAGCCGCCAAGGAGCCGAACGCCGUCGAAGCCGCACCGUCACGUCACCGUCGCUGUGCCUCUGUUGAACCCGUCACACCGCCGCUGCCGUGAUGUCAUUGUUGUCGCGAGGGAGAAGAGAUGCGUGAGGAAGGAAGCUCGUGGGGGAGAAAAAAGACGCCGCCUGUGCUGCCAGCUCCGUCGUGUCUGAUCUCCACUGUUGCCGUCGAAGGUCCGUCGCCGUGGCCGUGGAGAGGAGCCGCCGUUCAUGCUUGUCGCCACCAAAAGAGGAGCCGCUGCCGCCGUCGAUUGUCACUGGAGAACACACCGUACCGCCGUGCCUCUGGUCGCCAGAAUCACGGACCGGAGAGAAGGGGGCUGCCUCUCCUAUUGCUGUUGCUUCGUUCUUUUAUUCUGCUUUUUGCAAUUGGUGUGGAACAUAGAAAGGAGAUAAACUCUGCAGUAGUUGCAGACAAGUGAGGUACUGCUCUGAGAAACACUAGGUAACCGAAUUGUUUAAAUGCUUUAUUUAGUCUUCUUUCCACAAAUUUUAUCCUAACAUUUAUCUUUCUUUUCCUCGUCCCCUCUCUAUUAGUAAACAUUAUUAGCAUUAGGCUUAGUAUUAUAUUUAAUUUGCUAACUUUUUUGUUCACUGGAAAAUCAUUAUAAAGGUGAGGGAGAACUUAGUAUUAUAUUUAAUUCUGCUUCACUGCUUCUACCUCGCUGCUUCUGCUUCAUUGCCUUGGCUGAUUGUGGGUUGUCAUCUGUGGUAAGUGGUCUUUUUCUCUGAUUUUCUUUUGUUUAGUUAGGGCGUGUUUGGUUGUUGGCCAUUUUUGUUGGAGUUAAGAAGAAGAAAGAAAAGUGGUGUGUGAGUUUCUGCUUUUCUGUUUGUUUCAGUCCUUUGAAUAGUGAUUAGAGUUUGGAUUAUGAGAUGAGACGUGAUUAACUGAUUAUGGUGUUGUGAUUAGGGAGUGGAAUAAAGUAUGGGAAUGUGGGAUUUGCUAAUCUUUUACUGUUGCUUUUGUUCACUAAAUUAUUAUUUGGAAAUGCUGUUGUGAUUUUAUUUUGAUUUUAAUAUUGAUUUAGUACGUAACUGGUUCUCUGUCAAUGCUACUCUGAUUUUAUUUUAAUUUUAAUAUUAAUUUGUUAUAAUAUUGUUAUAAUUUUGAUUUGGUAAUUAGGUCUCUGAAAAUGUUGUUUUGGUUUUGUUUUGAUUUUAAUAUUAAUUUUUAUAUUGAUUUAGUAUAAUGCUGUUUGAUUUUGAUUUGGAAAUUGGUUCUCUGGAAAUGCUAUUUUGAUUUUAUUUUGAUUUUAAUAUUGAUUUGGUAUAGUGCUAUUUUGAUUUUGGUCAGAAUAGGAUAAGAGUAUUGGAAAACUGAUUCAUCUGUGUUUUCUUAACCUUUCUAACACUCCAUUGCAGACACUACCAGAUUCCAUUUGUGAUCUGCAUAAUUUGCAGAUACUAUUGUUAACAAACUACACUAAACUCACAAGUUUACCUAAAAGAAGAUGUGAUUUGAUAAGCUUGCGUUACCUUGAUAUCAGAGGUAGCAGUGUGCAAGAGAUGCCUUGGGAAAUGCUAUAACUAACUCUUAGUUCUUGAUGAGUAUUGCAUAGAAACCAAACGGCAUCUUUUUUCUUUUGGAUUAUUUACUGUGAGAAGGAUAUAGAUACCACACUCAGGAAUAUAUGAAAAGAUGAGUACGUAAUAAGUCUUGGCUUUAAUAGUCAUAAAUUGACUUGGUAUAUACUUUUUAUCUUCUUCAAAAACUAGUACUUCAUAGCUUCUUCUAGCACUUAUAUUAUAAGUUUUAACGUAUUUAUUUAUUUUUUUAUAUUCUCUAUCAUAGUCUUUACUAUUUGAACUUUUUUUGUUUAAUCAUAUUGAAUCACAAUGAAUCCAAAAUUUAAAUCUUCUACAAUUGAGCUACACUACAGGUGAAGAGCAAUUGGAUGAGAAUGAAGGAGAUAAUAUAGAUGAGCAGGACAAGGAUUAUAUUAAUCCAACUGAGGCUGAGGUCAUAGACAAUACUGUAAAAGUCUCUUUGAAAAACACGAGGACCUACACAAUGCUUGAAGAUUCAUGCAAGACAGUUGGAAGAUAGAGAAGAAAUUACUCUAGAUAUUGAAGGAGAGGCAAUUGGUCCUACUCAUGAAGCUGUAAACAACUUGAGCAAAUUGGGCACAGUGGCAAGGAAUUCAGAUGUUUGUCCAUUAAUUUUCAUAAACUGGAGGGGAUUAAAGAUAAAGAAGCUAUUUGGGAAUAUGUUCAAGUGAGAAUAUUAGUCUUGUUUCUUUUAGAAACAUAAGGAAAUGUACACAUAUCUUAUUCUUACUAGCAAAUAAUAUGUGAUUGUGGAUCUGACAACAAUUUUUAUAAGUCAAAUUUGAUGGGAAAUGUUCAAUUGUUUUUCUUUA